AAGCUUGAGUCUCGUAGAGGGGGGUAGAAUUCUAGGUGUAGCGGUGAAAUGCGUAGAGAUCUGGAGGAAUACCGGUGGCGAAGGCGGCCCCCUGGACGAAGACUGACGCUCAGGUGCGAAAGCGUGGGGAGCAAACAGGAUUAGAUACCCUGGUAGUCCACGCCGUAAACGAUGUCGACUUGGAGGUUGUGCCCUUGAGGCGUGGCUUCCGGAGCUAACGCGUUAAGUCGACCGCCUGGGGAGUACGGCCGCAAGGUUAAAACUCAAAUGAAUUGACGGGGGCCCGCACAAGCGGUGGAGCAUGUGGUUUAAUUCGAUGCAACGCGAAGAACCUUACCUGGUCUUGACAUCCACGGAAGUUUUCAGAGAUGAGAAUGUGCCUUCGGGAACCGUGAGACAGGUGCUGCAUGGCUGUCGUCAGCUCGUGUUGUGAAAUGUUGGGUUAAGUCCCGCAACGAGCGCAACCCUUAUCCUUUGUUGCCAGCGGUCCGGCCGGGAACUCAAAGGAGACUGCCAGUGAUAAACUGGAGGAAGGUGGGGAUGACGUCAAGUCAUCAUGGCCCUUACGACCAGGGCUACACACGUGCUACAAUGGCGCAUACAAAGAGAAGCGACCUCGCGAGAGCAAGCGGACCUCAUAAAGUGCGUCGUAGUCCGGAUUGGAGUCUGCAACUCGACUCCAUGAAGUCGGAAUCGCUAGUAAUCGUGGAUCAGAAUGCCACGGUGAAUACGUUCCCGGGCCUUGUACACACCGCCCGUCACACCAUGGGAGUGGGUUGCAAAAGAAGUAGGUAGCUUAACCUUCGGGAGGGCGCUUACCACUUUGUGAUUCAUGACUGGGGUGAAGUCGUAACAAGGUAACCGUAGGGGAACCUGCGGUUGGAUCACCUCCUUACCUUAAAGAAGC
rnacentral:rRNA from 1 species